rnacentral:rRNA from 1 species
GAUGAACGCUGGCGGCGUGCCUAAUACAUGCAAGUCGAGCGAAUGGAUUAAGAGCUUGCUCUUAUGAAGUUAGCGGCGGACGGGUGAGUAACACGUGGGUAACCUGCCCAUAAGACUGGGAUAACUCCGGGAAACCGGGGCUAAUACCGGAUAACAUUUUGAACCGCAUGGUUCGAAAUUGAAAGGCGGCUUCGGCUGUCACUUAUGGAUGGACCCGGGUCGCAUUAGCUAGUUGGUGAGGUAACGGCUCACCAAGGCAACGAUGCGUAGCCGACCUGAGAGGGGGAUCGGCCACACUGGGACUGAGACACGGCCCAGACUCCUACGGGAGGCAGCAGUAGGGAAUCUUCCGCAAUGGACGAAAGUCUGACGGAGCAACGCCGCGUGAGUGAUGAAGGCUUUCGAGUCGUAAAACUCUGUUGUUAAGGAAGAACAAGUGCUAGUUGAAUAAGCUGACACCUUGACGGUACCUAACCAGAAAGCCACGGCUAACUACGUGCCAGCAGCCGCCGUAA